rnacentral:misc_RNA from 1 species
CAACCCUCGAGCUCGUCUUCAUUGACGGGAUCGGUGUUGGGACCCGGCGAGCGGGGACUUUUGUCCUCUGCCGGCCCCGAAAUUCAGUGGCGGCCCGUUGCGGCGACCUCUGCGUAGUAACUCAACCUCGCACCGGUAACAGCAUCGUGGCCACGCCGUAAAACCCCCGACUUUUAUAA